rnacentral:rRNA from 1 species
GACGAACGCUGGCGGCGUGCCUAAUACAUGCAAGUCGAACGCUUCCUACCGGUGCUUGCACCGGGAAAGAAGAGUGGCGGACGGGUGAGUAACACGUGGGUAACCUACCUACAAGCGGGGGAUAACAUUCGGAAACGGAUGCUAAUACCGGAUAGAUCUUUUUUUCUCCUGGCAGAAAGAAGAAAGACGGUUUCGGCUGUCACUUGUAGAUGGACCCGCGGCGCAUUAGUUAGUUGGUGAGGUAAUGGCUCACCAAGACGAUGAUGCGUAGCCGAGCUGGGAGGGUGAUCGGCCACACUGGAACUGAGACACGGCCCAGACUCCUACGGGAGGCAGCAGUAGGGAAUCUUCCGCAAUGGACGAAAGUCUGACGGAGCAACGCCGCGUGAGUGAAGAAGGUUUUCGGAUCGUAAAACUCUGUUGUUAGAGAAGAACAAGGAUGAGAGUAACUGCUCGUCCCUUGACGGUAUCUAACCAGAAAGCCAUGGCUAACUACGUGCCAGCAGCCGCCGUAA